UACGAAGGGGGCUAGCGUUGUUCGGAAUCACUGGGCGUAAAGGGCGCGUAGGCGGCCGAUCAAGUCGGGGGUGAAAGCCUGUGGCUUAACCACAGAAUGGCCUCGAUACUGUUUGGCUUGAGACCGGAAGAGGUUAGUGGAACUGCGAGUGUAGAGGUGAAAUUCGUAGAUAUUCGCAAGAACACCAGUGGCGAAGGCGGCUGACUGGUCCGGUUCUGACGCUGAGGCGCGAAAGCGUGGGGAGCAAACAGGAUUAGAA
rnacentral:rRNA from 1 species